UACAUAGGCUUCAAGCGUUGUCCGGAUUUAUUGGGCGUAAAGAGUUCGUAGGCGGUCGAGUAAGUCGGGUGUGAAAAUUCUGGGCUCAACCCAGAGACGCCACCCGAUACUGCUUAACUUGAGUUCGAUAGGGGAGUGGGGAAUUCCUAGUGUAGCGGUGAAAUGCGCAGAUAUUAGGAGGAACACCGGUGGCGAAGGCGCCACUCUGGAUCGACACUGACGCUGAGGAACGAAAGCAUGGGUAGCAAACAGG
rnacentral:misc_RNA from 1 species